GAUAAACCAUCAAAGAGCAGCCUGCAAACAGUAAGCUCUUAGUAACUUCCACGGAUGAGAACUUCCAGCUACAGAACUGGAGACAGCCAUCCUACAAAAGAUGCGCUCUUCAUGAAGCCUUUCAAAACAAAGGGUCUUCCACCAAUCUCCACGACCUUCUGAAGACAACAGAGGCCUUGUCAGGACAUCAGGAAGCUCUCAGCACUGUGCAUGCACCUUGUCAGGUCCCAUGGACUUGAAUAGGUCAAGUACAACCAAUCCCCAACUUGACCUUCAUUCACUGCCAGCAGCAAGCACUAGUCAUGGAUGGUAACACUGCUUACAGUGCUUGAAAAGCUGACAUGCCUUCACAGAUAGAAAAAAGAACGAAAAACAAGCAAAACCCAAACUAACGUGCUCUUCAUAAGAGGCCGAAGAGGCAGCGUGAGCUGAAGCCAGACUAAUUCCGAUGAGAAACUCAACUGAUGUUUGCAUCUAUAGCCACAUGUCUGCGGGUACUUUGUGCCAAUGUGUUCUUCUGAGGUCUUCAGAUGAAGACAUGCUCUCUGGAAGAAGCGUUGUAGUAAACUGCCUGCUGCCCUCUUCCCUUGGGGUACAGUGGCUUCUCCAGCAUGACGUGACAUGUCAGACAUCUAUCACAUGCAUCCACGGCCUCAAGUUGCGGCAUUCUCAUCAGAACAUUCAACUGGUGGUCACAUAUGGUGUCCUCGUGGGAUGGGAGCACAUCAAGUCACAAGCUGGGGCAGAAAACGUGCAAGAUCCUCUGAAAGGGGAGAUCAGCACGACCAAUUUACUUGAACAAAAGUAGUGGGUGAAGUGUAGGUGGAACAAAAUGAGAUGCAGUGGUUUGUGAUGUCCUGGAAGUCAUUGGCACUUCUGGCCUAAACAGCUUGAGUUUAUGAAUCGACAUUAAGCAUAUAUUAUUGGGUGACCUUUGUUGAGGGUUGGCUACAUGAAGGUAUGCACUAGGUGGAAUUUCUUUUGCCUGAAGUGAUACACACCUGCCCUACAAGUGUGUGUAACUUGUCUUAACUUUCUUAAAUUGGGUUAGCUUCUCUCCGCAAAUUACUAAAUUCUAGUGUAAUUGAUUUAAGGAAGGGUUAAAUUGGGUUAAGUACAUAUCCAUUAUGUGCUCUUAAUGCUUUAAUUAGGUCAAUUUAAAAUCAAUUUAGAAAACUUGCCCCGGCUGGUUUAGCUAUUAUAGAUGAGAAUCUAGAUACGGUGAAAGAGCAAAAUAAUUCAUUGAGUCAACAAUUCCUCAUUUUUUUAUGACAAGACAUCGGAUCUCUCUGGCCAAAUUUAUAGUUUUGGUAAGUCCAGCUCUGCUGGAACAUGCCCGUUUGCUGGGGGGAAACUUAGUGCCGGCAUAGGCUGCCCAGGGAAUUGGUGGGUGCCCCAUCCCUGGAGGCGUUCAAAGCCAGGUUGGAUGGGGCCCUGGGCAGCUGGGUGGCAACCCACCAGAUAUCCCUCGCUGGAAGGGACCUACAAGGAUUACCAAGUCCAGCUCCUGGCAUAGAAGACAAGGCUAAAGGACUCAGGGGGAUCAUCUGUCCCACCUCCAGACUCAAGUCAAUCUUGACUGCGGUGAUGGCAUUUCUGACACAAGGUAUAGGUAGGGCUCAAUCUGUUGGGAAGGAGGUGAAGGUAAUGGGGAGGAGAAGUCGGGAGGACAACCAGGCAGAAACGCUGGGGCUCCUGCAGUACAUCCUCCAGCAACAUCAGCCAAAGUACUGAAAAAAGAAAGAGAGAAAAUUCUGAAAUAACCUCAAUCUGCACAAAAUGAAUUUUCAUUCCACUGCUGGACUUUAAAACCCUUGAGUUCUUCUUCCCAGGAGCUUGCUGGCAUUUGGCUGAGUGAGAGGAGAUGCAUCCCUCGUGCCUCCAAGACGAGGAUUAGUUUCUUACUGAAGGGAUUUGCUCGGCAUUGCUGCAAGUGUGUAUGGUGCACACUAUGUCCCUCAGGACUUCAAGGGCUUUUUUUUGUGGUGGGGCGAGGGGCAGGCCUGGCUUUUGCUUUGUACAUCACAGCAUGGAGAGUUCAGGUCCUUGUCACCACUGCAAUGCAGAAGAGCAAUAUUAUCAACUGUAAAUCCUUGUAGUCACGUAUUGAGCAAGUCAGUAUUGCCCUGAACCGGUUAACCAUGCCCACAACAAGAAAUUACAACAAAACAAUGGAAAAUCAGUCUGGUAACUCAGAAGCCCAGAUUCUAGGAGCAAUAAGCAAGAGAAUCAGGCACAAGGAUUUACUCUGGAGACUCCCUAAAAGCAGUUACACUGGGUUGGGACAAAAAUCUCAGCCCAAGGCUGCUCUUCAACCAAGUCCCAGCUGCUUAGAAUAUUUCUGAAUGAUGAGGAAAAGGAAUGGGAAGAAAGAAUGGGAAUUCACUCAUCCCACACCUGGAGCAGGGGAAUGAAGAGGCCAUCCCCUGAGCAUCAGCCUCUCCACAGCUGCCGUCUGACCCAGACACUCCAACCUUUCCUGAAAUCCCUCCUUUGGAAGCCAGCCCCGUCCCGGGGUUGAGGGCUGAAGCCACGCUGAUAGAGGAAGCCAGCAUUUCCCAGGUCAAACUUUGCAUCAUUUUCCAGGCAUGUGCUUCUCUGCUGAAAGCAGGUACUCUGGAGAAGGCUUUUUUUUUUCCUAAUAGAUAGUCAGUAAUUAAUUUGCUUAACUCAGAAUUGCGGUAUUUUUGAAUUCUCAGCCAAGUUAGCAUUUGGGAAGGAGUACUUCUUUGGGGUUUUUAUCUCUCCUCUCUCAGUGGCUGCAGCAACCCUCAGCCAAACUCCCUGUCUGCAACAUUUAAACCUCUUCAUAAAUCACACUUCACAUCACUGGGAUGCAUCUUCUCCAUCACCAGGCUCUUGGCUUUUAACCAUUUGCAGCAGAGCCAGAAGAGCUGCAGCGCCGGCGUCUCAGCAGAAAGCCUUGCUCUGUCCAUUUGUCUGUCUGGACAUGAACACAACUGCACGUGCAGGGCUGUGGGGACGUGGGUCUGCGAUGCCUCCCCGAGUGCUUAUUCACAGCCCCACAAAAGUUCACGGCAGACACGGCCGCCGCUCUCACUGCACGCACUGUCGGCCUGGUAGAGCAUGCGGGCAAAUCUCAAGCUGGUUGUUUGCAGGGAUUGUUGCUGUCGUUCUGCAAAGAGAUUGCUGCAGUUAACUUCUGCACUCCUAGCCGGGCUAAAGUGGAUUUGUUUGUGUUCAAACAUGCGCGCUCACAGCUGCGCAGUUUGUUCAAAACUGGGUCAGUGGGUCCAGCACUUCUCACUUGGUCACUGGGAAUACGAUUUGCACCGAAGUGUUUCCUGAAAGGGUGAAGUGAGACAUCACCUCCUCCCCUGCGGGGGAUGAAAACAUAUAUCCUGCCAAAUGUUAUAGACAGAACACGCUGGUGAUAACUGCUAGGCUUCUUCUUACACGAAGGGACCAAAUCACAAAUACAAAUCUAUUUUAAAAAAUAAAAGGGGGGGGGGGGGGGGGAGGAGCCAUGAGAAAGCAGCAUUUAGAUUUGAUAUAAGGAGGAAAUUCUUCACUACGAGGGCUGGCACAGAGAGCUGUGGGUGCCCCAGUCCUGGAGGUGCUCAAGGCCGGGUUGCAUGGGCCCUGGGCAGCCUGCUCCAAU